rnacentral:rRNA from 1 species
GGGGAAUAUUGGUCAAUGGGCUUACGCCUGAACCAGCCAAGUCGCGUGAGGGAAGACUGCCCUAUGGGUUGUAAACCUCUUUUGUCAGGGAGCAACGCCGGCUACGUGUAGCCGGACUGAGAGUACCUGAAGAAAAAGCAUCGGCUAACUCC